AAUAUACAAUGUCGUUGACUUUUUCUCACAUGUUUGACCAUUCAUCUUAUUCAAAAAAAUUAUGUAAUUAUAAUUUAUUUUGUUAUGAGUUGUUUUAUCACUCAUAGUACUUUAAGUGUGAUUUAUAUCUUAUACAUUUGCAUAAUUUUUUUAAUAAGACAAAUGGUCAAACAUGUGAGAAAAAAUCAAUGGCGUCAUCUAUU
rnacentral:pre_miRNA from 1 species